UACGUAGGGCGCAAGCGUUGUCCGGAAUUAUUGGGCGUAAAGAGCUCGUAGGCGGCCUGUUACGUCUGCUGUGAAAUCCCGGGGCUUAACCCCGGGCGUGCAGUGGAUACGGGCAGGCUGGAGGCAGGCAGGGGAGAACGGAAUUCCCGGUGUAGCGGUGAAAUGCGCAGAUAUCGGGAGGAACACCGGUGGCGAAGGCGGGUCUCUGGGCCGAUACUGACGCUGAGGAGCGAAAGCAUGGGGAGCGAACAGG
rnacentral:rRNA from 1 species